AGACGGAAGGAACCCUAGCCGCCUGAGGAAGCCCACAUCCGCAAGGCAUCCUCACCAGAACUUAUCGAAAUUUCUAGACUGCAACCCGAUCGAUAGUGACGGACUUGUCAUCCUAAACCCUAACCAGGCUGUCGACGAUGGCGGCGGUUCGGUGUGCGGCGAGGAGGCUCGGUGGCUCCCUGCUCCAGAGGAUGCAGGCGGAGGGGCGGCUCAUGCAUGCCAAGCAGGCUCAUGCGCUCCCGCGGGCUCUUCACCGAGGCGCCGGUUGCAAUACACAAAGAGAGUUCGGGAGGUGCUAGAUGCAGCCGCCAAGUUCACAUUUUAUGUUUUCCUUACUACUGCUGUAGUGCUGUUAUUGGUAUCGGCCGCAACAAGGGGGUACCCCGCGCUCACGCUCAGGCCCCUGCCAAGGAGGAAAGUAAGUGAAACAAGAUGCAAAAAUGAGAACCAAAGAUGUUCCAGACUUGUUUCAGUUUUGUCAUAUGACGUGCAGUUUGGCUAGCAAGUACUAUGUUGUCUUUGUGACAGUGUGACAUGGUAUCUCUUUGUCUAUCCCAGCAGAUUGGGUUCAUGAAA